rnacentral:rRNA from 1 species
CCUACGGGUGGCAGCAGUGAGGAAUAUUGGUCAAUGGGCGGAAGCCUGAACCAGCCAAGUAGCGUGCGGGAUGAAGGCCCUACGGGUCGUAAACCGCUUUUGCACGGGGACAACACCCUCCACUUGAGGAUGUCUGCAGGUACCGUGCGAAUAAGCGCCGAUUAAUUCCGUGCCAGCAGCCGCGGUAAUACGGAAGGACCGAGCGUUAUCCGGAUUCAUUGGGCUUAAAGGGAGCGUAGGCGGGCGGUCAAGUCAGCGGUAAAAUCGCGCGGCUCAACCGCGGCGCGCAGUUGAAACUGGACGCCUUGAGUUGACGACAGGCAGGCGGAAUUCGUGGUGUAGCGGUGAAAUGCAUAGAUAUUGCGAAGAACCCCGAUUGCGAAGGCAGCCUGCCGGGGUGCGACUGACGCUGAGGCUCGAAGGUGCGGGUAUCGAACAGGAUUAGAUACCCGGGUAGUC